rnacentral:lncRNA from 1 species
UUCUAAUCGGAUUUGUCCUAAUGCUUCGCUAAUUAGUCCAAGGAGACACUAAAUUAUGUCGAUAAGUUAAUGUUUUUUGUCGAAUAAUAAUUAAUGUCACAAUCUAUAAUUCAAAUCACACUUCAUUCCAUUCUUAGCUAGCUAGUAGCCACAUUGCCUCUUAUCAUUCUAGAUUUAUCACUAGCAUCAAACAUGGCAUAAUUGUCAAUUACCCAAUCAUGUAGGGGCCACAAACACAAUUUCUCUAAUCCUAAGGGGGGGCCAUUUAGAACGUAAAGAAUUUCCAAGAAUUGUAAUUUAAUCCCCUAAAAUCAGCACAAAGUUAUUAGAACCCCAUUCCAAGGACUAUUAUGUCAAAAUUAUAUACUACACACCGAAUCUGUAAUAAAACUUAUUUUUUAUGUGAUGGGACUUCUACUCCUAAGGGUCACAUGUGUAAAUAUGGACAAAAUAGAAAAUUCUGGCACAAAUUCAAAUCUUUUUUACAGUGAUGAUCAUUAAAUAAUACAAGGUCCACGUGAUUUAGUUGCAAUGUUUUAUUUUUUAGGUCAACCAUAAUAGUAAUGAUCCAACUGUAAUAAAAAAAAAUUAAUAAUAAUAAUUAUACACUGAUUAAAAAAAAAAAAAA